UUAUUCUUCCACUACUGUAGCUAGAAGACCUCCAAUUACACUUCAACACGUGUCCUUCUUUGACUUAACUCUGUUUUAUAUUUUUUUUUCCAACUCGCACAAGCAAAAACGACGCCGUUUCCUUUCACACUGUUCAUCACCGUCUCUGAGUCUCUCAUCAACCCUAGGUCUCUAAUCGCGUGUUCUCUCCCUCUCUACCUACUGAUUUCGAGUUUUCGACGGUACCCAUCACAUCCCGCCAGACUCUUCGCUAGAUACAGUUCAUCCGCGUACGAGCAACUGUUCACUGAUAUGCUAGGUUUCCUCUUUCCCGUGGUUUUCUUCUCACAAACGGCGUUGUACAACUUUCAAUCAAGAAAGGGUUAUUAGGUAAGGAUGCAGAAGGAUAAGCGGAAAUCGUGGAAGGAGAAGGAGGAAGCGUGCUCUGUGCGGUUGAGUAUGAGAAGGAGAAGCGAAGAUCGUGGAACAACAGGGUACUCUUGCAUAUGAGGCAGAAAUUGGUUUUGAAAGGCUUGCAGAAACGUCUGGUCAUGUGUGUGGCAAACCUGAAACAAGAACUGAAGAUGCCAAGGUUGCUAACACAGCAAACCUGCUGCUGCUGCUGGAAAAGAGGGAAAAGCUUUGAGCUUUUCUAGGUUGGAUGUGUUUGCUGCUGAACCAUUUGAGAACUUACCACUCCCCUUGCUGCAGAGAGAACAAGAAGGAAAGACCCUCUAAACAGCUUCAAUAAGUAGUUAAGUGGAUGGAAUAUCAAUGACCACCAUUAUUGGGCUGUAAGCUCAUCUAACCAUUGUUACUCUCUCUUUAGUAAUAGUACAUUCUAGGUUUUUUUUUUGC